CCGCCCCCUGAAGCUUUGUCUUCUCCGAACCACAUCCCCACCGUGGGCUGAUUCCCCUCAGCCGCUGGACACCAGAAACAACCCCCGCCAGAACUUCUAUCGCCGCCGUCCCUACCCCCUUCAUCUCCUUCACCUCCUAACACCCAUAAAUCAUCACAAUUUAACCCCAAAUCUGCCCGUUUCAGCUUUAUCGUUUUGGUUUAGCUCGAGUGGUCCGGUGAGUUUCGAGUGCGAUUUAGAGUCGAGAAAAACAGAAUAAGAUUUUGAGGGUCCGUUCGAGAUUCCGGCUUGGUCUCCGGUCAGGGAGCUUGAAGAAUUGUUUGUUUGUUGCUGUUCAAAGCUUGAGUUUCAGUCUUGAGCUUCAAACCUUCAUGUGUUCGAUCUUAUCCGAUUUUGUUACUAGGUAUGUAGAUAUUCAUUUGUUCUCUUGCUUUGAGUUCAUGAAUAAAAGUUCUGGUUGUUUGUGCUGUAAUUGUUUAUGAUUUUAUAAAUCUAGCAUCUUAGCCAUAAAAAAAUUGUUUAGAAGUCUGUUUUGUUUAACCUGUGGUACUAUUAACUUUGUUUUAGUUCAUUGUUCAUGUCGCACUCCUAUUCGAUGUUAUAGAUUUAGCCAUUUAGUUAUCAAAUUUAUGUUAAAAUUCUUCUCUGUUUACUCAUGGCAUUAUCGAUCUGUUUUGGAUGAAAUCAGAACUAAAAUGGAAGGCAUGAUUUUUGUUUGGCUAUUAGUUAAAGUGACUGUAAUUAUAAUAAAUCAAGAGAUUUUGGUUAAUAAGGAUUCUGGCCAUUUGAUUUUAGGUAGCAUUUCAAUUUGUUGGCUAGAAGUUAAAGUGUUUCUAGGCUUAAAAUGUUUUAAUGUCUUGUUCUUCUAAUUAGCGACCUUCAUAAAGCUAUGGAACAAAUUACAAAGUCAUCACAUUAAUUUCAAUCAUAUAAGCUAGUAAAGAUUUCAAAGCAGUUGAUUAAACUAAGUCAAGGUAAUGGCCAUCCCAAUUCGUGAUCUUCAAGUGUAAACUUAUUAAUCGACACUUCAUCGGAAUAAUGUUCUUAUCAAGUUGCUUUGAAUCCAUACUUCUUCUUCUUAUAAAGAAAGCGUGAUAAACUUUAUCCAUACUUCUUCUUCAUAACCAAUGACUUUACAUGACUAAGGAACAUGAACAAUUUCGAACAUCGUAUCUUGCUUUAGGCGCGAUUAAUAAAUAAACCAUUGUGAUUAUGGGUACGGUUCCGUGACAUAGUUACGAUGCCUAAUUCCAAAAUUCGGGGUGCAUUUCAUAUAACCCGAUCAUAACAACUUUGAAUAAUAAAACCUGUUAAAAUAAUUUGAGCUCCCUAAACUCGGGUGUGCAUUUCAUGUGACCCAAAUUCAAAUCUCAAUAACGUUAAAUAAAAUAUGUCGCGGACCGCAGGUGCAUUUCAUGUGGCGUGGUUCAAGACGUGUUUUAGAUAACGUUGAAUCUUUCUAAAAUUAAUUAAAAGAGGUUAAAGGUAAAAAUGCACAUAGGUUCAAAAGUGUUUUAAAAUCAGGUAAUUGAGCCGAUUAUAACUGUUGAGCGACCGUGCUAGAACCACGGAACUCGGUAAUGCCUAACACCUUCUUCCGGGUUAACAGAAUUCCUUACCCAGAUUUCUAUGUUCGCAGACUAUAAAACAGAGUCAAUCUUUUCCUCGAUUUGGGAUUUGAACCGGUGACUUGGGACACCAUCAAUUAUCCCAAGUGGUGACUCUGAAUUUUUAAAAUAAAUAAUCUCGUUUCGAUUGUCACUUAAAUUGGAAAAAACUCCCCUUAUACCUUCUUACGGGGGUGUAGGUAAAAAAGGAGGUGUGACAAAUGGCACUUGCUGAUUCUUAUUGAUUGUUCCCUUAAUUGAUUUUUUGUUCAUUUGCCCUUAAUUACCCGCCCCAUACUUAAGUAUUUAAUUUUCUUUCCUUAAUUAUAUGCCCUGCUCUUUAUCAUUAACUGGUCACCCUUUUACUAUAAGAGAACCUUGCUGAUUUUAUGCAUGAUUGAUUAUGUAAUUUUCCCUAACUAUUGAAUGAUUGAUUAUUUACCUUACUUUACUCUGCUCUCAACUACUAUAUAUACUCUCCUCUAUUGUCACUUCCAGACACGAACAAUCAGUUCAAAAUACACACACACCCACACACAUAAAAAUUCUCUCUUCUCUCUCUGCUACUUGUGCUAACUGCUUGUCUAGCCGGUUGAAAGACAAGGCUAGACUGUGGAACUCUACUUUCUUUACUUUCUGCAUUUUGCUUCCUUAACUGGUAUGUUCCUAGUUCAAUUCUGAAACUCAACUCUAUGGCUCCAUGUCUCCUUCUGCAUUAAUUUAAUGUCUUAUAUGUUCAAUUGCCCUUCUUGUUUACUGCUUUAUCUAGCAUGCUUAAGUUUUGCCCUCUCUUGGUCAAGUGUGUAACUAGCAUGUCUACUUGAGUUCUUGUUUAUUUCCCUCAACUAGUAUGUCAUGUUAGUGUCAUAGACUCCUAAUGUACCUGAUUAACACUAAGCAGCAUGACUAAUUAUGUGUAAUAGACCUCUGUCCUCAACAUGACUACUCCCAUACCCUGUCCCUAUGUCUUAUUACUAUUCUAAUUUCGAGCAAUGAUUCCCUUGUUAACACUUUGAAGUAGUAGUUUGUGUUCUGGAGUCCAAUCAGUUCCUACUUGUUCUUUGUGCUUGCUAGUCUAUAUGCUUCUCUUCUCAUCCAUGUUUAUGUGGUUCUGAUUUGAACUUUCUAUGUCCCCAACCCCUUGAUCCUUGUCUCUAAAGCUGUUCGCCUUCACUUAGAAUCAAGUAAUAAAUGGCUCUGAUCAGACUCUAAGUUGUCUUUUGUGAUUAUGUGUUUUCUCAGAGUUGCUUCCACUCUUAGCAUUUUUUAAACUGUGUCUAUUCCUGAAACUUUUCUUUUAAUCCUGAAAGUUCUACUUCAACAUUGUUUUACUAAGUCCUUUUCAAAACUAUGAUAAGCACUCUCACUCUACUCUUAGAUCACUAAGUUCUCCCCCUUUUGUGUGAGCCUUGCCUUGGGACCCUUGAGCUCCCUCUGAACUUGGACACAUGAAAGCUGGCCUUUUCACACUACAAUCUGUCUUGGCUAUGAAAUAUGGAUGUGAGCACUGCCCGGGAUCCCUUGAGGUCCUUAGGGAACUCUGACAUAUCCGGAUAUGAGAAGGGCUAUGAAACAAUCUUGGCACUUGAGGUGAUUUAUUAUAUGACUCAGGGAGGAAGUCCUAAUCAGGCUCUCUAUGGUGUAAUCUCUUAUUUUUCAUUUCUACUUAUGUAAUUCAUUUCAAUGUUGGUCUGUAAUAACCUGUUGUAAACAAGUAUUGGGGCUGGCUAGUGAAAAGGGGAGGGUAGUUAUGUAUGCUAUCAACAUCAAUGGGUAUAAACCAUGUCUUAGGUUUGCAUUUCCUAUGUGUGCAUUAGAAUCCAUGUGUAAUA
rnacentral:lncRNA from 1 species